CGGGUGAGUAAUGUCUGGGAAACUGCCUGAUGGAGGGGGAUAACUGCUGGAAACGGUAGCUAAUACCGCAUAACGUCGCAAGACCAAAGAGGGGGACCUUCGGGCCUCUUGCCAUCGGAUGUGCCCAGAUGGGAUUAGCUAGUAGGUGGGUAACGGCUCACCUAGGCGACGAUCCCUAGCUGGUCUGAGAGGAUGACCAGCCACACUGGAACUGAGACACGGUCCAG
rnacentral:rRNA from 1 species